ACUUUAACAUGGAGGUACUUUCU
rnacentral:ncRNA from 2 species